CACUCACAAGCUCAGGUUACCAACACAUAGUGUUAGAUGCGAAGGGAAUGGGAAGCCAGGAUGGAGACCCACUCUCCUAUUUGGCAAAACCUACUAAUGAGGCUGGACAAUAGCCUUGCCUUCAGGCUUCAAUCUCCACUAGUCCAGGCACUGGUGAGAAAAAUUGAUGCCUCAGACAAUAUCUACACCACAGAGUCCACCACAGGGAACCUGUUCAGCCUGACCCAGGAGGGGGCUCCCUUGUGCCGCAUCAUAGCCAAGGUGGAUGGUGUUCUGUGCUUGGCCGACAUCCUGACUGACGACAGCCACUCAGAGGCCACACGGGCUGAGGCUGCGGCUGUGGUGGCCCAGGUCACCUCCCCACACCUGCCCGUCACCCAGCACCUCAGUAGCUUCCUGGAGAGCAUGGAGGAGAUUGUGACAGCCCUCGUCAAACUGUGCCAAGAGGCCUCAUCAGGGGAAGUCUUCCUACUGGCCUCUGCGGCCCUUGCCAACAUCACGUUCUUUGACACAAUGGCAUGCGAGAUGCUCCUGCAGCUGAAUGCCAUCCGUGUCCUCCUGGAAGCCUGCAGUGACAAGCAGAGAGUGGACACGCCUUACACUCGGGACCAGAUUGUGACCAUCUUGGCAAACAUGUCUGUCCUAGAACAGUGUGCCUCUGACAUCAUUCAGGAGAAUGGAGUCCAGCUUAUCAUGGGCAUGCUGUCUGAAAAGCCAAGGUCUGGGACCCCUGCUGAGGUGGCAGCCUGUGAGCGAGUCCAGCAGAAAGCUGCAGUGACCCUGGCUCGUCUCAGCCGAGACCCAGAUGUGGCACGGGAGGCCGUGCGGCUCAGCUGCAUGUCCCGUCUCAUCGAGCUCUGCAGAUCCCCAUCAGAGAGGAACAGCAGUGACGCCGUGCUUGUGGCCUGCCUGGCUGCUCUGCGUAGAUUGGCUGGGGUCUGCCCCGAAGGCCUCCAGGACUCUGACUUUCAGCAGUUGGUCCAGCCUCGGCUUGUGGACUCCUUCUUACUCUGCAGCAACAUGGAGGAGAGUUUUGUGUAGUGAGUGUGGGAGAAGAAAGACAUUUGGCUGUUCUCA
rnacentral:sRNA from 1 species